GACGAACGCUGGCGGCGUGCUUAACACAUGCAAGUCGAGCGACGCUCUUCCUUCGGGGAGAUGACGGAGCGGCGAACGGGUGAGUAACACGUGGGCAACCUGCCCCUAGCUCUGGGACAACACCGGGAAACCGGUGCUAAUACCGGAUACGACAUCGAGCGGCAUCUCUCGAUGUGGAAAGUUUUUUCGGCUAGGGAUGGGCCCGCGGCCUAUCAGCUUGUUGGUGGGGUAAUGGCCCACCAAGGUGACGACGGGUAGCCGGCCUGAGAGGGCGACCGGCCACACUGGGACUGAGACACGGCCCAGACUCCUACGGGAGGCAGCAGUGGGGAAUAUUGCGCAAUGGGCGAAAGCCUGACGCAGCGACGCCGCGUGAGGGAGGACGGCCUUCGGGUUGUAAACCUCUUUCAGCAGGGACGAAUUCAGACGGUACCUGCAGAAGAAGCACCGGCCAACUACGUG
rnacentral:rRNA from 1 species